GGGGGAUAUUGCACAAUGGAGGAAACUCUGAUGCAGCGACGCCGCGUGAGUGAAGAAGUAUUUCGGUAUGUAAAGCUCUAUCAGCAGGGAAGAUGAUGACGGUACCUGACUAAGAAGCCCCGGCUAACUACGUGCCAGCAGCCGCGGUAAUACGUAGGGGGCAAGCGUUAUCCGGAUUUACUGGGUGUAAAGGGAGCGCAGGCGGUUUUGCAAGUUGAGAGUGGAAGCAGGGGGCUCAACCCCCUGACUGCUCCCAAAACUGUAAAACUUGAGUAUGGGAGAGGCAGGCGGAAUUCCUAGUGUAGCGGUGAAAUGCUUAGAUAUUAGGAAGAACAUCGGUGGCGAAGGCGGCCUGCUGGACCAAAACUGACGCUGAGGCUCGAAAGCGUGGGUAGCAAACAGGAUUAGAUACCCUGGUAGUCCACGCUGUAAACGAUGAAUACUAGGUGCUGGGAGGCAUAAGCUUUUCGGUGCCGUCGCAAACGCAUUAAGUAUUCCACCUGGGGAGUACGUUCGCAAGAAUG
rnacentral:rRNA from 1 species